rnacentral:lncRNA from 1 species
GACGACGCUCUCCGCCGCGGCCUCUCUUCUCCCGCCCGAACCCUAGUUCCCUUUUCUUCACCCUCCCUCCACCUCCCUGGAUUUCUCUACCACCCGGACGCGCCGCGCCCUUCACCUCCAUCUCUUCCGAGGCGGUGAUCGUGCAGCGGGAGGAGCGGCAGCCAACCGCGUCCGAGGAGGGCGGGUACCACGACCUCCUCGGAAACGAUGUUUAGUCUAUAUGGUAAGUAUGAUAAGAAAGACACUGUUACUCAAAUCCUAGAAACCAAGGUUUUAAGUAUCAUGGCAAAUCGAGUAAACUGCCCUGUAUGUAGCGGUCCAACUGGGCAUUAGUACAGUGAUGUACCAUGAAACUAAGUAGACUUCAGUAAAAAAUGUGAAUGCAUGAUUAAUGCUGUGUACAACGCCCUGUAGGUCGGAUGUUGCAUUGGAAGAAUGCAAACUGCUCACAGAUUUGGAAAUCUCAAAUUUUAUUUGUUGAAGCAAGUCAAUGCCUUUAGCAUUUCAAAGGGUUUUCUUUGAUUUGCUCUUUUAUGCCCAGGUUGAAUUUUGCAAUAUAUUUGUUGUGCAGCAUAAUAUUCAUUUCCUCCAGGAAAUUCUUCAAAAUAUGAAAUUAUUUGUUGUGGAGGUCCUCAUUUCUCAACACUUGUUGUUCUCCAACCAAAAAUGAACAACUAGAAACUUGGUCAAGAAGGAUCUAUUGAAUAUGAUGGUUAGAUUUGUUGAUAUGUUUUCCAUUUUAGCAACAAAGUCUUUAUAUAACUUUGUCAUAUCCUUUUUUAAAGUUGCCAACAAAUAUAAGAUCAACUGAGAAGUCCUAGAUAUUUUUUUCUUGUGUAAUCUUGAUGAAAAGAUGGUAAGGGGAUAGAAGGGGAGAAAGCAUUUGAGUUUAGCAGUGUUGCUGAGAUCCAAAAUCUGAGCCCUCAGCUGUAACUCAUGGAAGGUGCUAUUCAGAAAUACUCAUCAGACAAUGAGGAAUCACCAAUCUUUUAGUCAUUUCCAAUUCAUAAAGCUUACUUGGGGGAUUAUAUAUGGAUCAUCACCCAUAUAUGUUGUAGUCAUUUCCAAGUCAUCUUGCCUCCUCUGCUUCAGGUAUGCAAGUAUUGCCAAAGCUUGGUUGCCUUGGUUUCAUCUUUUGGAAGCUGAGUACCUCCUAUCCAGACCAAGGCACAAAAGUAGUGUAACCUUGGCUAAGCAAGGGUAGGAUCAUCACCCAUCAUUCAUCUGUUCUGUUAUGGCUUUUUGGAAUUAUAUCUGCA